UACGUAGGGGGCUAGCGUUGUCCGGAAUCAUUGGGCGUAAAGAGCGUGUAGGCGGCCCGGUAAGUCCGCUGUGAAAGUCGGGGGCUCAACCCUCGAAUGCCGGUGGAUACUGUCGGGCUAGAGUGCGGAAGAGGCGAGUGGAAUUCCUGGUGUAGCGGUGAAAUGCGCAGAUAUCAGGAGGAACACCGAUUGCGAAGGCAGCUCGCUGGGACGUAACUGACGCUGAGGAACGAAAGCUAGGGGAGCAAACAGG
rnacentral:rRNA from 1 species